GAAUGCUGACAUAAGUAACGAUAAUGCGGGUGAAAAACCCGCACGCCGGAAGACCAAGGGUUCCUGUCCAACGUUAAUCGGGGCAGGGUGAGUCGACCCCUAAGGCGAGGCUGAAAAGCGUAGUCGAUGGGCAACGGGUUAAUAUUCCCGUACUGGUGGUAACUGCGAAGGGGGGACGGAGAAAGCUAAAUCAUCCGGGCGACGGUUGUCCCGGUUUAAGCGUGCAGGUGGACUGACCAGGCAAAUCCGGUCGGUUGUUAACACUGAGGCGUGACGACGAGCCACUACGGUGGUGAAGUGAUUGAUGCUCUGCUUCCGGGAAAAGCCUCUAAGCUCCAGGUUAUCAUUAAUCGUACCCCAAACCGACACAGGUGGUCAGGUAGAGAAUACUCAGGCGCUUGAGAGAACUCGGGUGAAGGAACUAGGCAAAAUGGUGCCGUAACU
rnacentral:rRNA from 1 species